rnacentral:rRNA from 1 species
UUGGAGUCUGCAACCCGAACUCCCAUGAAGCUGGAUUCGCUAGUAAUCGCGCAUCAGCCACGGCGCGGUGAAUACGUUCCCCGGGCCCUUGUACACACCGCCCGUCAAGCCAUGGGAGCCGGGGGUACCUGAAGUGCGUGACCGCAAGGAGCGCCCUAAGGUAAAACCGGUGACUGGGGCUAAGUCGUAACAAGGUAGC